rnacentral:misc_RNA from 1 species
UUUCCGUAGGUGAACCUGCGGAAGGAUCAUUCAUAAUAAAGUGUUUUAUGGCACUUUUUAAAAAUCAAUAUCCACCUUGUCUGCAAUGUUAUAUCUCGUCAAUCUUGGCGAAAUUUCUAUACAUAAACUCAUUCUUUAACUAAUUUGUCUGAAUAACAUUAUGAAUACUUAAUUCAAAAUACAACUUUCAACAACGGAUCUCUUGGCUCUC